GAGUCCGAGCCGCCGCCGCCAUGAGCUGCCCCGUGCCCGCCUGCUGCGCGCUGCUGCUAGUCCUGGGGCUCUGCCGGGCGCGUCCCCGGAACGCACUGCUGCUCCUCGCGGAUGACGGAGGCUUUGAGAGUGGCGCGUACAACAACAGCGCCAUCGCCACCCCGCACCUGGACGCCUUGGCCCGCCGCAGCCUCCUCUUUCGCAAUGCCUUCACCUCGGUCAGCAGCUGCUCUCCCAGCCGCGCCAGCCUCCUCACUGGCCUGCCCCAGGUGAGGUGCAAGGGGCGGGAGGAGGGGGUGGGCAGGGAGUAGACAGGCUGCGUCCGGGGCCCAGGCCUCUGCCACGUCUCCCAUCCCUGGGAUCCCGGGGGGUGUUGCCCACUUUCCCUCCCACCUCCAGGAGGAGGCACAGCCUAUGGCUGUGAGUGCAGACUAGGGGCUCCGACUCACCCGCCAGCCCUGGCUGCACUGCUGUGUGUGGCCUUGAGCAAGUCACCUACCUCCUUGUGCCUCAGUUUCCUCAUCUGUAAGAUGGUGGGUGUAAUGAGAUGCCACUCUAGUUAUGGAGAUUGGCGGGGC
rnacentral:lncRNA from 1 species